AGCAGCCGCCGCGGUAAUACGAAGGGUGCAAGCGUUAAUCGGAAUUACUGGGCGUAAAGCGUGCGUAGGCGGUUUGUUAAGUCUGUUGUGAGAUCCCCGGGCUCAACCUGGGAAUGGCAAUGGAUACUGGCAAGCUAGAGUGUGUCAGAGGAUGGUGGAAUUCCCGGUGUAGCGGUGAAAUGCGUAGAGAUCGGGAGGAACAUCAGUGGCGAAGGCGGCCAUCUGGGACAACACUGACGCUGAGGCACGAAAGCGUGGGGAGCAAACAGGAUUAGAUACCCGAGUAGUCCCUGUCUCUUAUAC
rnacentral:rRNA from 1 species